UGCGUAGGCGGACUAAUAAGUCAGUGGUGAAAUCCUUCGGCUCAACCGAGAAACUGCCAUUGAUACUGUUAGUCUUGAGUUCGGUUGAGGUAGGCGGAAUGUGUAAUGUAGCGGUGAAAUGCUUAGAUAUUACACAGAACACCAAUUGCGUAGGCAGCUUACUAGACCGACACUGACGCUGAGGCACGAAAGCGUGGGGAGCGAACAGGAUUAGAUACCCUGGUAGUCC
rnacentral:rRNA from 1 species